GUGUUGUAUGAAAGGAGAGAAGAUUAGCACUCCCCUUGACAAGGAUGGAAGAGGCCCUUGGGCCUGACAACACAUAUAUGGUUAAGGCAUUGCCACCUACUUCGUGUUGUCUAACCAUCGUUUUUA
rnacentral:ncRNA from 1 species